rnacentral:rRNA from 1 species
CACGCUGUUAUCCCUAAAGUAACUUAUACUUCUAAUCCUUAAAAAAGGAUCAAUAAUCUAUUUAUAAAUAUUURAUUUUCAAAACAGUUAAUAGUUUAUUUAAGCCGCCCCAGCCUAACAACCUAUCCUUAAUUCUAUUUAAUAUAAAUUUAAAAAUUAAAGUUCAGUUGUAAAGUUUUAUAGGGUCUUAUCGUCCCUUUAAAUCAUUUAAGCCUUUUCACUUAAAAGUAAAAUUUAAAUUAUACCAGUAAGACAGCUUUCCUUUUGUUCAACCAUUCAUUCCAGCCUCCAAUUAAGAG